CGGAUUAGUAGGAAGAGCGGCGGCAUGGGAGAUGUUUGAGUGUAUUUGGUGUGUGCGUGAGUUGCGUGGGUGUAGAGGCCGGCGUGUGAUUGCGUGCUGUGUGUCUGUACAUGCCGGCGUGUGCGAGUUGUGCGCUGCUUCUCCUGCCUUUCUAUUACACACUGAUCUUAUUUGAUCUCCCUGAGGAUGGCGGCCUGUCCCAGGGCUGAAAUGAUAGGAAACUGCUCGCUAAGCCCUACCCGGGCCCUGUGCGCUGAGCUCGGCUCUGCAGGCCGCAAAUCACUGAAAGGAUGAAUUGAUCAGAUAUACUAGGCCGGGCUGAGGGGCUUCCCCAAUAAUCCCGGCCUGUGAGUAUAGAGGCGAUUCUGAUCUGA
rfam:Xenopus laevis strain J chromosome 7S, whole genome shotgun sequence.